rnacentral:rRNA from 1 species
GAUGAACGCUGGCGGCGUGCCUAAUACAUGCAAGUCGAGCGAACAGACGAGGAGCUUGCUCCUCUGACGUUAGCGGCGGACGGGUGAGUAACACGUGGAUAACCUACCUAUAAGACUGGGAUAACUUCGGGAAACCGGAGCUAAUACCGGAUAAUAUAUUGAACCGCAUGGUUCAAUAGUGAAAGACGGUUUUGCUGUCACUUAUAGAUGGAUCCGCGCCGCAUUAGCUAGUUGGUAAGGUAACGGCUUACCAAGGCGACGAUGCGUAGCCGACCUGAGAGGGUGAUCGGCCACACUGGAGCUGAGACACGGUCCAGACGCCUACGGGAGGCAGCAGUAGGGAAUCUUCCGCAAUGGGCGAAAGCCUGACGGAGCAACGCCGCGUGAGUGAUGAAGGUCUUCGGAGCGUAAAACUCUGUUAUUAGGGAAGAACAAAUGUGGAAGUAACUAUGCACGUCUUGACGGUACCUAAUCAGAAAGCCACGGCUAACUACGUG